AUACGGAGGGUGCAAGCGUUGUUCGGAAUCACUGGGCGUAAAGCGCGCGUAGGUGGUCUGUUAUGUCAGAUGUGAAAGUCCACGGCUCAACCGUGGAAGUGCAUUUGAAACUGGCAGACUUGAGUACUGGAGGGGGUAGUGGAAUUCCCGGUGUAGAGGUGAAAUUCGUAGAUAUCGGGAGGAAUACCGGUGGCGAAGGCGACUACCUGGCCAGAUACUGACACUGAGGUGCGAAAGCGUGGGGAGCGAACAGGAUUAGAAACCCGAGUAGUCC
rnacentral:rRNA from 1 species